rnacentral:misc_RNA from 1 species
AAGUCGUAACAAGGUAACCGUAGGUGAACCUGCGGUUGGAUCAUUAAUGAAUCUUUUUUUGAUUGGAUCUGAGCGUGGCGUCCCUUUUUGGGGGACGACGUGUUCAGGUCUUCAUCAACCAACCCCUUCAUUUUAUUUUUUUUAAUACUGUCUUUUUCACAUUGUUUUUGGGAACGACAUUGGAAACAUUUCCAAUGUGGGACCUGUUGAAAAUGAAAAAACAAAACAACUUUUGGCAACGGAUCUCUUGGCUCUC